UACGGAGGGUGCGAGCGUUGUCCGGAAUCACUGGGCGUAAAGCGCACGUAGGCGGCUUUGUAAGUCGGAUGUGAAAUCCCUCGGCUUAACCAAGGAAGUGCAUCCGAAACUACAGAGCUUGAGUACUUAAGAGGAUCGCGGAAUUCCCGGUGUAGAGGUGAAAUUCGUAGAUAUCGGGAGGAACACCAGUGGCGAAGGCGGCGAUCUGGGAAGAUACUGACGCUGAGGUGCGAAAGCGUGGGGAGCAAACAGG
rnacentral:rRNA from 1 species